AGCUUUUGCUUGCUCUGUUUCGACACUCUGCAAACCCAAGGACCCGACAGAGGGUUUCAUUUCGGCUUCAUUGAAUCUCUGAACCUCCAAAAAUACAUGUUGGUUUGGUUUUAUUGGGAAGGUUUUUCUUUCUUUUUCCUAUAUUCAGCUCCUCCUUGUAAGAGCGAGCUCCUAAAAUGGCCCCUUUUUGGGCCGUUUCAUUGUCUCCGUGCAGCCUUUUAUGGCGACCGAAGCUUGUUGCUGUCGAUUCGCCUCCUACUGGUAUAGGCAUAUAGCAGCAUGUGUUGGAAGGAACAGUAUUGGGUCAAGGUAAGUAUCUCUGUGGAGGCAAUUUACUUAUUGAUCAAACCUCUUUAGUCUGAGGCCGGAGAAGGCAGAGAUCAAAAGGCAAUUGAAUGGGCCAUGAAUCUGGUUAACAAUCAAGGUUGGGGCAAAGUUCUUUGGCCAAGUGAUGCGCAGAAUGUAGUGAACCAAAUAAUUGCCAGAAAAUGAACCCACUGCUUGGGAAUCCUGGAGUGACAUCUUGUUUUUGAGGCAGCAGGUUCAAUUGCAUCCUUGGAACUUCGAAUGUAUAGCUAGGGAAUCUAACUUUUGUGCUGUCUUGACAGGAAAACUAUCUUUACUUUGAAUAGUGAUUUUCAUUUUAUCAAUCCCCUUUUAAAGGAUCUUCCCAGGCUCUCGGGGUACAAAUUGUAACAGAGGAACUUAGUUCCAUUUUGUAAUCCCUGUUUGGGCCCUCUUUUUGCACUUUUAUGAUGCAGUUCUUAUUGCCAAAAAAAAGAAAUUAAGUGCAGCCUAUUUACUAAUUGAUCCAAGUUUACAGUGUUCCUUGUUCCUUCCACAUAUCCAAAGUCAGUAGAAAAUCUAGAUAGAGCAUCUAUUAACGAAAUGAGAUUAAAAGGGAAUCUCGUGUUCCAACUUUUCACCUCCAUGUUUCUCCUUGAAGCCAAGCAAUUUGAUAUUCUUCAAGAUUUUAGUUAUGAAGUUUGUUGAUACAGUUUCUUUGCUAAUUUAUUUAUUCACGUUGGAUAAAUUAUACCAUGCAGCUCUGUUCUUGCAGGCUAGUGUCUGCUAUAAUUAUCUUUAGCUAUGUUGGAAAUUACUUUUGUGAGCUUCCUAUACCUUUCCAUCAUAGAAAUUAAAUCAACAAUCUAAGAUAGUAAACGGGAAAUACAAGCAAUCAGACUGAGUACUUACCAUCUUCUCCAAAUUCUUUUUGGUGUUUGUGCAGGUACCACAUGCUACUUCCCUUCUCACGCAUGUAUGCUUCCUAUUUUAUCAUGUUAUGUCAAGCAUGACACUUCAAAGACUACGUCAUUCGACUGCUGAUUUGCCAGAAAAAAGUUCAGUGGGUUUUUGAGGCUGCAUGGAUGUGGCUCUGGCCUAUUUCAUAGCGUGGCUGGAUACCAUAGCUAUUUCUAAUAAUCGACGAGAAACCUGGUGAUCCAUGGGACUUGCUUAGAAUUGCUAUUUAUGCUCUAGGUGCUGCAAUGCGGGUCGCGCAUCCUAUUGUUCCAGUUCCAGAAACAAAACGGUGCCUUCAACCAGGACUUCCUUGGUUUCCUGGACAUGCAAACGAAACUUGACAACCGUUCAUAAAUAGGGAACUGGGUAAAGUUUCUGGCUGCAGAAGAAACGAGCUCUGAAAUUUCUUGCAGUUGAUGUGGCAAUGGCUGCUGUACAAUAUUAUAUACUUGUGUAGUUGGACAGAAUUGCAUGACUAGCAAAAGGUUAUACAUUCAUAAGUUAUCAUAUUAAA